UUUUUUAAAAAAAAAAAAAACAUUCAAAAGCAAUUAAUGAUCAGACAUAGGAAAAACCUUGAAUAGAAACAAAACUUUUGAAUGCUGGAUUCAGAAAAAAAGUUAUCUGGACAGCUUCUUUGAGACUAUUUAAAAACUGGUACAACAGGUCUCUACAACGUCAAGAUCUAACUAAGCUUUAAAAGGUCAAGAAGUUUUAUGGCUGACAAAGGAUUUUCACCAGCACAGAUGACCUUUACCACCUUAAGCUUCUGGGGAUUUGGGAAUUUUACCCCCGUUCUCUUCCGUUUGGCUGAGUUGCAUCUCUUCUGCGAGCAAGGGCUGAAAUAGUUUUGUUGUUGUGAGGGCGGUUGGGGGUUGUGAGUUUGCGCACAGCUCUUACAUAAGGCGUGCUUUACUGGGCCGGGCAAAGCGGUUAUUCUUUCUUCUUGGGUGGGUUUGGCUUUUGUUGUUUUUGUCUGGGUAUGAAAUGCAAAUAUGUGUAGCAGUAAAAAAAAAAAACAAUCUGUUGCCAUUGGGUCAAUUCAGACCCCUAGCAACUCUAGAGGGGUACUUAUUUUGACAAAAUUGAUUUUUCAAGAAUGGAGUAGAAGUGACCAGCAACAACUGUUUUUCCUUCUCUUUUUGUUCCAUUCAGAGAGAACCAAAAAGCACCCCUUCCAUCAGCAAACCUUGGUAAUAAUAAAUGCUCCUGGCUGGUUUGCAAACGUUUAAUUUGGCCAUUUGUUGCAUUUAGUGAGAUGAUCACUACGAGCCAUACUCGGGGGCUGUCCCCGACUUCAUGUCAUGUUGCCAGGCAUGGAGGGGGUGGGGCUUCCUUUUGGUGAAACUGCCUUAUGUAAUAGUUUAGCUCCUUGGUCGCUACACCUCUUGAACGGGGUUUGGCAGAACCUAGUUUCUACCAGGCUCUGCCCAGUUCUGUUUCUGCAGCAUUCUGGUGUAUGCUGUGGUUGGUUUUGACCUUUCUUGGGGGUAAUUAUAAGUGUGUGUGGAGGGGGAGGGACAGAUGCAUUCCUGAAGAGUUAUCCUGCUGUCCCUCAUCCUCCCACCGUUCAAUGGUCAUUUUAAUCACUUGGCAGUGUCACCACAGAGGAAGGAAACCCAAAACCAAAGGGAUAGCUGGGAGUAUGGCCACCCUGCUCCACGAUGCGGUAAUGAAUCCAGCAGAAGUUGUGAAGCAACGCAUGCAGAUGUACAACUCGCCCCACCGGUCAGCCCUCAGCUGCAUCCGGAUGGUGUGGACGACUGAGGGGUUGGGGGCCUUCUACCGGAGUUACACCACGCAGCUGACCAUGAACAUUCCCUUCCAGUCCAUCCAUUUCAUCACCUACGAAUUCCUGCAGGAGCAGGUCAACCCUCAUCGCGAGUACAACCCACAAUCCCACAUUAUCUCAGGAGGGCUGGCCGGGGCCAUUGCCGCGGCUGCCACCACCCCCCUGGAUGUCUGUAAGACCCUCCUCAACACUCAGGAACAUGUGGCUCUCUCCCUGGCCAAUGUCAGCGGUCGCCUGUCAGGCAUGGCCAAUGCUUUCCGGACAGUGUAUCAGCUCAAUGGCCUGCCCGGCUACUUCAAAGGUGUGCAGGCACGUGUCAUCUACCAGAUGCCAUCCACGGCCAUCUCUUGGUCCGUCUAUGAGUUUUUCAAGUACUUCCUCACCAAGCACAAGCUGGAGAAUCGAACUCCAUACUAAAGGAACAGACAGUGGGAGGGAUUGAAAUUUCCUUGAGGGUUUGUCACGGGUUGAGCAACACUGGAUUUUGAGUGAGAUGACAACCAGCCCUGUGGACUAGAGCAAGAGGACUGUAGGAGGAACUUAUAAUCUAGUUGCAAAAAGAAAACACAUACCGUAGCAGAUGCUUGUGAUGGUUUAUGGGGCAUUGCACCAAAUCCACUCAGCUUUCUGCUAAAGAAGACCACUCUGCUGUGUUCAGGUGUGACCUCAAACUACGAAGCCGUAAGUGGGGGGAGGAGUGAAAUCCUUCAAGGGCAACCCCAAACAAUGGGGGCAGGAAUCCAUGGCUAUCUGCUGCAGCCUCCCCUCUUUAAUUGGGACAAUUCCAAGGUAUGUUCUAUGGGGUUCCUCAGAGGGUCCCAAUGGGAUUGAGACCCAGUUGCUCAAGGUGGUAACCAGCUUUUGAUUGACUUUUCUUCCUUCCCUGUCUCACAUUGUACCUUCUCUUACUUCUGCUUCCUGGCAUCAUCUUCUAAAUGUACUACCUGUCCUCAGUUCCUUGGCUCACACUCUGCUUUCUGGAGAACUCAAACUAAAAACACACAUUUGCUCACUCAUGUUUCUAGAAUAGCUCACUCUACAAGACAAAGUGGCACCACAUAGAUGAUGCAUGCAUUAUGAACUAUGAGUUCAGAGGAGUGGGCCAUUAAAAGGUUUUAUGGUGGGUGGAAUAGGCUUUGUACCGGAGGACAGAAUUACUCCUUCUGUCAAGGGCAGAUACACUGACAUUGAAUGAAGGAAGAUCAUUCCAGAAGAGGUGGACUAUUGUGAGCAAAGCUUAGGGUUCUGGAAAAGAUCUGAGAGAAUAAAGAGGCCUGCUUGGCUGGAGUAGAUGUUAGACUAGAGGAUAGGGAGAUAUAUUUUAGAUUUGAAGAGGUAGGUUGAGGCUUGGUCGUACUGCGUCUUGAGUGCCCAGGUGUCUCUCUUUGCUUGGGAUUCUAUUACAGGUGGAAGAUUUGCUUCUGUUUGUUGUGGAGGGAAUUUCUUUUCCAUAGCAAGUAUUUUCCCAAUGCAUUGUUAAGCCCAGGUUUACUGGUCAAAGAAUCUGACUUUUUCCUUCCUGCCUCCUCACCCUGAGCUUACAGCCUCCUUUCCUCUCAGUCUCUCCUCAGCCUCAGCUUCCUCCAGGAGUUUUCAUUGUGCUGUAGCCCAUCCUACAUUUCCUCACCCUGACAAUUGGGGGCUUUAAGAAAAGGGUUGGCAAAGUGCCUUCUCCAUGUACCCGCAUCUAUGUUUGCACCUGUGAGUUUUCCUAAGGUAAGCGUUGAGGGUAUGGCGUGUGUUUGACUGUUGGCAAUAGCUCUCAGCAUAUUCUAGGUGUCCAGUGAUCACAUGGUACCAGUCAGGGUUUGAGUUUCUGCCGCAUUUCCUGAGGAGACCAGAAAAGGUGCCAGCUCACAGAAUUGGCACUGCCUGACAUUUCUCCUUCAUUCUCCAGAACCCUGACCUCUGAACUGGCUGUCGCAUCGUAUCUGAUCCAUUGGUUUACUCACAUGCUGUGAUCUUGGGAAGCCCAGUGCGGUAGUGGUUAAACUGUUACAGUCCAUGAACUCUUUCAGUUUGGCAAAAGACCCCAGGAACGUGCUUCUCCUGCCAACAUCAGUCAGCAAUGCUUUAGGCUAAUAAUCCUUUAUAUUUGCAUAGUACUUUCUAGAUUGCAAAGCACUCACGUAUACAUUGUAUUGCUUUCUCCUCUUUAUAAUGACCCUGUGAAGUAAGCAGUUCUAUUGUUUAAAUAAAGAGACUGAGAAGUUAGGUGACUUGCCUAAGGCCGUGGAACUUGCCUAAGGUUAUCUUCAGAGGGAAAUUUGAAACCAGGACUCAUUUACCACUAGGCCACACUGCUAAGGGAGAUAGCAAGAAGCAUAAGAUCUAAUCCUGACCCAGUGGAUCAUAGAUCACAGACUUUGAAAGAGACCAGAUAAGCAGGAGCAGAAAAAUGACACUAGGUUCCAAGUGCCAAAUGAUUUCUACAGACAGUGAGUGCGCUAGCCAUACAGAGGAGAAAUUCCUCACAGUGGGUAAGGCUGAGAAGGCGCAGAGAAGGUGAUUGAAAUCCACCCCCUAAAAAAAAUGCACGCACACACACACAUAACAAAAAACAAAACUUAAGUUGGAGGUAACUUUUACAACUUGAACAAGGUCAUUUUGGACUAAAAGAUAUAGAAAAAAAAUGAAUAGCUUCUAAAAGAUAUAAACCGAACUAUGUGAAUGGACAGGGCAUUAAGUAAUCGUUGAAACUGGCCAAUAUUUAUUUAACUUUAAAUGUCAGCGAUGAUAGUCAUGACUUCUCUCUGUGCCUGCAGGGGUACGACUCAGAUGAAAACUGUGGACUUUGGAACCACAAGACUUGGUUCAAAAUCUCACUCUCUAGCCACGGGACCUGGGACAAGUUACUAAAACAUUUUGUACUUUAUUUUCCCGCUUUGUACCAAGUGAACAAUCAUUUCGCACUCAAACAAUUGUUGUGAAGAUUAAGUGAAUAAUAUAAAUGAAACUGACUAGGGGUUUUUAUAACUGUUUGUUUCUUUUUUAUUCAAACAUUUUGGUCCAUGAUUGGCAAAAGCAUCUUGAGCUGGAUGCACCAGGCAUUAGAUCCAGAGGCACCCUUUCUAUCUCCUAUGUACAAGGCUGUUUUAUCCAUUAAGCACUAUGGGCACAGUGCUUUAGGUGUACCGGCAUUACAUGGGGCAAUGGGAAGGUUUGGAAACUGAAAAGAAAAACCAGUUGCCUUUGAGUCAAUUCCGACUCAUGGUGACCCCAUGUGUGCAGAGUAGAGCUGUUCUCCAUAGGUUUUGAUGGCCGUGACCUUACAGAAACACAUAGCCAGACCUUUCUUCUGAGGCAUUUCUGGGUGGAUUCAAAUUGCCAAUCUUCCAGAUAGUAGAAGUGCACUUAACCAUUAAUGCCACCCAGGAACCAGAAUGAAAGGUUGUUGUUGUUAGUUCCUGAUAGAGUUGGUUCUGACUCAUGGUGACCCCAUGUGUGCAGAGUAGAACUGUUCCAUAGAGCCUUCAAGGCUGUUACCUUUCAGAAGCAGGUCACUAGGCCUGUCUUCUGAGGUGCCUCAGGGUGGGUACUGGUUUCAAAAUCUGAAAAUACUAAUGUAAAAGCAAAAUUAAGAAACAUUUAAUUAAAUGUAAAACAUAUCAGUUAUUAACUGCUUCUAAUUCUUAUGUAGCUAUAUAGAAAUUAUAUUUAAUGGGGGAUGUGGGUAAAUUUUAAAACGUUUAUUUGAUGUGGGAUGAAGACUCCAAAAACAAGAGAGCCUCAGACCUAUGAAGUUCUUCAAACAGCUCUGCUUCUACGGCUGGUAUGGUCCUGGAAUCCUUCAGGAAAGAGCCAUGGCUUUGCAUGCCAGGACGAGGCAGAGUCUGGUUAAUUGCUGUUUGGCACCACCUCCUCCUUUUGUGAAGCAGGCAUCGUGUCAGUGAGGAGUGCUGGAUGGAGCUGAAGUGUAUUGUACAGAAAGAAGAGGAAAUACUUUUCACAGAAGCUUGGAGCUCCCAGAAGUAGUUUUGUUUUCCAGCGAUUGAGUUCAAGCUUAUGCCUCCCAGAGUCACUGCAUUAAAGCAUAGAUAAUUGUAAAAGGAGAGUGACUACCAGAAUGCCCAUCAGACCAAAAACCAUGUGCGGCAAUAAGGAUUUAGUAGCUGGAGAAAUUGGCAAGAAGUUACUAGACCAAGUGGGGAGCACCUUCCCAGAAGGAGCAAAGGCAGAGCUGUCUGUGAUUUUUUGAAAGACUACUGAACCUGAAACACAGCUUGGGAAAGUGAGGCCUGAGGAAAUGUGACCAGGAUAUGCAAACUAGCAAAUGGAGCACCUGAGCUAACUACAGGAUGAGAAAGAAGCCAAGAACAAGGAGUGUGAAGUUUACCUGGUUUGUUGAACAGGUGUCAUCACUGACAUACAUCACUAAGCACCAAGAUGAGACAAAGGCAACUUCCUUCUUCUCCUGGUGUUGCUGUUUGCACUUGACAUGAGGGCCUUCUGAGGCUGCCAGGGCGAGUGGAGGGAUGUGGCAGUGAUCCGGCUCCACGGGGCUCAGGCCCCAGUGACCUUCAGCUCUGAGCACAACUUAACAAAGGACGGUCACAGCACACCUGGGCUCCCCAAGCCCUGUCCUCCAGUUUCCCUUUUCACUAAGCCAGAGAACGUUGAGUUUCUCUGGUGACGGGUACUGGGUGUGUAGGUAUCGGAGGAGGUACUGGAGGAGUGUUCCAGCUCUUUUUUUUCCACCUUGGCAUGGGAAAUGCUAUCAGAAUAACUUACUCAUGAACAGAACUGUGGGGAAAAAAAAGAGUAUCCUGAAAAAUUAUCGAAGUUGCACAUUCACCUCACUUUAAACAUAUGAUGAAA